UACGAAGGGGGGCUAGCGUUGCUCGGAAUCACUGGGCGUAAAGGGUGCGUAGGCGGGUCUUUAAGUCAGGGGUGAAAUCCUGGAGCUCAACUCCAGAACUGCCUUUGAUACUGGCGGACUCGAGUCCGGGAGAGGUGAGUGGAACUGCGAGUGUAGAGGUGAAAUUCGUAGAUAUUCGCAAGAACACCAGUGGCGAAGGCGGACUCACUGGCCCGGUACUGACGCUGAGGUGCGAAAGCGUGGGGAGCAAACAGG
rnacentral:rRNA from 1 species